ACGCAGUUAACGCCCCCGCCCCAGACAUAUAGGUCAUCUUACAUAUCAUGCAGUUUACUUUUGACAAACAUGAUGCAGAACCAUAACACUGCAUGAUGUAGCCUAUAAAAAUGCAAUUAUAUGCUCUUAAAAUGUCAGAUAUUGGUGCAAAUAAUGGUGCUGUAUUUU